UACUCAGAAUGAGGACAAUAAAUGUGAUAAGCACCUGGACGAAAGAUGUCUCCAAUGUCACAGCUACAUAAAAGUUUCACCAAUUCCAAUAUUACUUUUGAAUAUUAGAACCAAAUUAUAAUGUAUAUUUAUAUGAUAUAAUAUCUAUGGAUUUAAUGCAUUUAUAAGAUAUAUUGUUAUACAUAUAUGUAUAUAUUCAAUAUACAUAAAUUCAUCAAAUAUAUAUGAGCAUAUGUAUAUGCAUAAAUAUGUAUAUAAUUAUAUAUAUGCACUUAUAACAUAUGUAUGAAUAUUAUAGGCAUAUUUCUCUAUAUUAUCCAAUGUGUUAACUAUUUUUUAAUUGUAUAUAUAGGUUAUUCUUUAGUGUGUGUUCAGUCACAUGCAUCUAAACUUGAAGUCCUUAUGAAAUCAAGACUAAGAGAACCUCUUCAGCUGAUGUUAGCCUAGUGAUCACUCCUGUUAAAAUUUCUGGUAGGUGAUAACUAAUUGCUUUAACAAAUGUUGUUUGUUACUGAAUGCCUGACAUAUUCCAGGCCCAAUAAGAAGUAGUGAAUAAAACAGAUAUGGUUCUUGACUUUUUGAAGCUUACAUUUAGGAUAGAAGAUGUACAGUCAAAUUGAAAAUUGCAAUAAAUAUUCUAAAAGGUAACAGAAA
rnacentral:lncRNA from 1 species